rnacentral:rRNA from 1 species
GACGAACGCUGGCGGCGUGCUUAACACAUGCAAGUCGAACGAAGUGGCGAACGGGUGAGUAACGAGUAAUCAACCUGCCCUUCAGAGGGGGCCAACAGUUGGAAACGACUGCUAAUCCCGCAUACUGAAGGAGGGGUUUGCGUCUGAUUAGCUAGCUGGAGGGGUAACGGCCCACCAAGGCGAUGAUCAGUAGCCGGUCUGAGAGGGUGGACGGGCAAAUUGGGACUGAGACACGGCCCAGGCGCCUACGGGAGGCAGCAGUGGGGAAUCUUGCGCAAUGGGCGAAAGUCGUACGGAGCAACGCCGCGGGAGUGAUGACGGCCUUCGGGUUGUAAAGCUCUGUUAAGCGGGACGCGGUACCGGAAUAGAAAGCCACGGCUAACUACGUGCCAGCAGCCGCGGUAAUUC